GUGGGGAAUAUUGGACAAUGGGCGAAAGCCUGAUCCAGCCAUGCCGCGUGUGUGAAGAAGGUCUUCGGAUUGUAAAGCACUUUAAGUUGGGAGGAAGGGCAGUAAGUUAAUACCUUGCUGUUUUGACGUUACCAACAGAAUAAGCACCGGCUAACUUCGUGCCAGCAGCCGCGGUAAUACGAAGGGUGCAAGCGUUAAUCGGAAUUACUGGGCGUAAAGCGCGCGUAGGUGGUUCAGCAAGUUGGAGGUGAAAUCCCCGGGCUCAACCUGGGAACUGCCUCCAAAACUGCAUGACUAGAGUACGGUAGAGGGUAGUGGAAUUUCCUGUGUAGCGGUGAAAUGCGUAGAUAUAGGAAGGAACACCAGUGGCGAAGGCGACUACCUGGACUGAUACUGACACUGAGGUGCGAAAGCGUGGGGAGCAAACAGGAUUAGAAACCCGGGUAGUCC
rnacentral:rRNA from 1 species